CCGAACCGACUAAUGUUGAAAAAUUAGCGGAUGACCUGUGGCUGGGGGUGAAAGGCCAAUCAAACCGGGAGAUAGCUGGUUCUCCCCGAAAGCUAUUUAGGUAGCGCCUCGUGAAUUCAUCUCCGGGGGUAGAGCACUGUUUCGGCUAGGGGGCCAUCCCGGCUUACCAACCCGAUGCAAACUGCGAAUACCGGAGAAUGUUAUCACGGGAGACACACGGCGGGUGCUAACGUCCGUCGUGAAGAGGGAAACAACCCAGACCGCCAGCUAAGGUCCCAAAGUCAUGGUUAAGUGGGAAACGAUGUGGGAAGGCCCAGACAGCCAGGAUGUUGGCUUAGAAGCAGCCAUCAUUUAAAGAAAGCGUAAUAGCUCACUGGUCGAGUCGGCCUGCGCGGAAGAUGUAACGGGGCUAAACCAUGCACCGAAGCUGCG
rnacentral:rRNA from 1 species